CAAAUGUUCUUCGUGAACAUGGCGGACUGCUCAGUAACACGUGGAUAACCUGCCCUUAGGAUUGGCAUAACACCGGGAAACUGGUGAUAAUACCGAAUAGACCAUUUAUGCUGGAAUGCUUUUUGGUUCAAAGGCUUCGGCUGCCUAAGGAUGGAUCUGCGGCCUAUCAGGUAGUAGUGGGUGUAAUGUACCUACUAGCCUACGACGGGUACGGGUUGUGAGAGCAAGAGCCCGGAGAUGGAUUCUGAGACAUGAAUCCAGGCCCUACGGGGCGCAGCAGGCGCGAAAACUUUACAAUGCGGGAAACCGCGAUAAGGGGACACUGAGUGCCAGCAUAUUAUGUUGGCUGUCCACAUGUAUAAAAACCAUGUGUUAGCAAGGGCCGGGCAAGACCGGUGCCAGCCGCCGCGGUAACACCGGCGGCCCGAGUGGUGAUCACUUUUAUUGGGUCUAAAGGGUCCGUAGCCGGUUUGAUCAGUCUUCUGGGAAAUCUGACAGCUCAACUGUUAGGCUUUCAGGGGAUACUGUUAGACUUGGGACCGGGAGAGGUAAGAGGUACUACAGGGGUAGGAGUGAAAUCUUGUAAUCCCUGUGGGACCACCAGUGGCGAAGGCGUCUUACCAGAACGGGUCCGACGGUGAGGGACGAAAGCUGGGGGCACGAACCGGAUUAGAUACCCGGGUAGUCCCAGCCGUAAACGAUGUUCGCUAGGUGUCAGGGACGGUGCGACCGUUUCUGGUGCCGUAAGGAAGCCCGUGAAGCGAACCACCUGGGAAGUACGGCCGCAAGGCUGAAACUUAAAGGAAUUGGCGGGGGAGCA
rnacentral:rRNA from 1 species